rnacentral:rRNA from 1 species
UACGUAGGGUGCAAGCGUUGUCCGGAAUUAUUGGGCGUAAAGAGCUUGUAGGCGGUCUGUCGCGUCUGCUGUGAAAAUCCGGGGCUCAACCCCGGACUUGCAGUGGGUACGGGCAGACUAGAGUGUGGUAGGGGAGACUGGAAUUCCUGGUGUAGCGGUGAAAUGCGCAGAUAUCUGGAGGAACACCGGUGGCGAAGGCGGCAUCCUGGACCGGUAUUGACGCUGAGGCGCGAAAGCCAGGGGAGCAAAGCGGG